UUGAGACUAGAGCCUUAAAAUCUGAUUUAGCUCAAAAUGUACUUUUUUAUUUGUGCUAUUGCCCUGAACAGUUUUCAAUAAGAACUCCCCAAAAUCAUUUCCAUUCAGCAGAUUGUUUCAGGACAACAACAAAAUCAACUGGAGCUUGAUCCAUUCAAGUUUUUGUUUAACGUUAAAUUCAUAGCAUUGGUUUACAUCAGAUUCAUGGUCACAACAUUAAUAGUUUGCUUGUUAAUCUGGGAUUGCUGCAGAAGUGAGAUGUGAGAUCUCAUUUUAGUAUAAUAGGAAGGAUGGCAGCUGGGGGAGAGCCCACCACACCCUUCGGGAGUUUUCAUGGCUGAGACACUGCAAAUUUAGCAAGUACAGUGAUUAGCUUAAGUGGAGAAGAAAGGGGUAGAGUCAAAUGGGUGAUCUUAAUACCACCACUUCAGGGAGAAGGUAUUUAAGAAGAAAUGAGCACCAUUUUAUCAGUACCUAUGUUUUCUUCCAUCUCUUUUGCUUUAACAAUAUGCCCCUACUUAGUGGAAGAAAAUCCAAGUGUAAGGAAAGACAUGUUGUAUAUCGGUACCCUUGACUCAACUUUCUUUUCUGUGCCUCCUCCAGCCGCAGUCCUACAACUCAAAGUGCCUCGAUGUUGCUGUUACCCAUCACUUACCAGCCAACAGCUACGAGGCCUGGAUUCUGCCUCGUGGUGAUUGGUCUUCUAAGAAGGAUUUCAGUUUGGUGUUUAGAAAACAGAGACUGCAAUGAGCUGGUCUCUGUUAACCUCGUAGGAAGCUAAGCUAAAUGUGUACUUGAAGAUGAAGGUAAGCCCUGAGAUGUUGCAGGUCACUAAAACAAAGCCUAACAGAAAGAGAUACUGUAUAGUUUCAGAAGGGAUGGCGCAUGACAUUUUACCAAAACAUCCCUGGAUUUGCAGUGUUUGGCAGCACACGAGACCUGGAGAAAUACCGAAAGUCUUUCUUUAGGUAACCAUGGAAAUGUGACAUUAAAGAACAGAAUUAUCUGAUACUGCACGUAUCAAAAGAAAGCAAGAAAUAACUUGAGUUUUGCCUGUGCCUGUGGCCACCUCCAGGAGUUGUCUUCACAUGCCACCUUCCUUUGGGACAGUCUUGCCCAGUUCCGUAUCUCUGCACAGAUCUCACUGAUGUAUCAGAGUUGGCACUCAUCUCAGAGCGGUGGAAAAUUCCUCAGGACUUCUGGAUGUGUCCUAAAGCCAAAGUGACCAGAAAAGAAGAAGCCCAAGGAUGACCGAGGUCAGAUUCCCUCCAUCCCAGUACUGUGGGCCGGAGCUGAACACAAAGGAAUUAAUAGAAGCUACUGAAAUGAAUCCUCUUCUCACCCUGUUUUUAUGCCCCGUGCAUGUGCAAGACUUUCACCGUCAUAAUCAUGGAGAGCAUGAGUGUCCCAGGACCUGCGUUUGUCCCAUGUCCUGAUUCCCUUUGGAGAUACUUUGGGUGCAGUCUCAUUUCAUUCCAGCACAGGGAAGAUGAGGGGAGGGAUUCCAAGAAGAAAAAAACCAUGAAGAUACGGUGGUGAGAGGAGAGGCUGGGACCUCAGGGAUGAGCUGUCUGUCCCAGUCUGUGUGUCCCUGCACUGCCCGGAUGCACACCCUCCAAGAACCCAGUGAGGAAAGUCUCAGGGGGAGGCUGGUGGUGGCUUCUCCUUGCUCGCUUCUCCCCUCUCUCCUGCCCAGCCAUGUGGCUGUGAUCUGCUGUCCCACAUCAGCCCAGAGCAUCCCCCAGGGCCUUGGCCAGCACACAUCAAGUCGCCUCCUUGAAGGGCUAACAUUGCUUAGGGGCCACAGGGUCACACUUUCACGGCCACUGUCGUCCAGUCCACGACCACCCCUGGGGGCCUGACCUGCUCUGAUGCCGGCGCUAACUCGGUGACUGUGACUGCAGGUUUCCAGGCUGGCCUUGCCUUUAGUGUCCUGCCGCAUAUAGGGCCGAGGCCAUCAGCCCUGUUCUCCCCGUGACCAUGCCCAUCCUCAGCUUUCUUUCAGGGCCCACCCUUUUGGAGCCAUGUCAAUCACUCGACUUGCGGUGGCCAAAGCCAUGUUAGCAAGUGGAGAACAGGUAGGGCCUUGAAGGGUGCCGGUGAAUGGAACUCACUCCACUCUCUGUCUCAGGCAUGGAAACACACCUUGGCACCCCUGCUGUCCUGCGGGACAGAGACAGUGUCCCUGGCUGCUCAGUAGAAGCCAGCAUAGACCAGCUAAUAGCCAGGCCUGUCACUCAGGCGAGGCCAGGUGAAGUAACCGCUCGCAGACCCCGGAGGUAAGCAAUCAUUUACUGUCUUAGGCCACCGAGUUCUGGGGUGACUACUGCCUAUCGUCAUGGCAGCAAUACCACUGAUAGGGCUCCCAUCCAUGCCACAAGGAAUCUUCCCAGAGCAGGCUCGGUGGCAGCCGGUGCAGAGGUGGGGGAUGUGCCUGGUCCCUAAGUAAGGACUGCGAGGCACCACGCAGAGCCAAUCUGCGCAUAUGCGCAUGAGGCGGCAGACAUCAGAAGGCAAGGGCUGCCUCUGCAGCCUUACUCAGCGCCCACGAUAAGCAACGCCCAGAGCAGGCCCUUGGCCCCCCGGAAUGAUUCAGAUCCAGGCCCCGCUGCUAGAACUUGUCCCCACAGGCCAGGACCACUGUGGGAGUCCAUGGGCCAAGCAGGUCUCUCCAUUCCCUCUUCCUCCACGUUUCCUGCAGCCUCCCUCCUCCCCCAGAGCUGAGUCACUAGGCUUGUGGCCCAGGACAAAGUGAGACUGGAAAAGACCCUCCAGGCCUGUGUCCCAGGGCUUUCAGCCUCUGGAGAAUUGUCCUGGCAGAAGAAAGUUGCCUGCUGGCCCAAGGCAUAACCUUUUCCCAGGGCAGCGCACAUGCAGUGACUAAUCUGAAAUCUCACUCCCCAUGCCCCAGCUUGGGACACGCUGGAGGCUACCCCAGCUCCAGAGCUCUGAGCCCAUGGCUGAGACAUGUCACAGCCUCUUUCUACUACUGACCCUGCCAGUUCUCUUCUCACCCCUGUGAGAAGUGACCCCCAGGGGACACUGGUCUUGGUCCAUUUUUUUUGCUGCUACCAUAGAAUAUCUGAGGCAGGGUAAUUCCGGAAGAACAGACUUAUCUUAACUCAUGGUUCUGGAGACUGAGAAGCCCAACAACACGGCUCUGGCAUCUGGCAAGGGCCCCUGGUGCUCCAGCUUCUGGAAGAAAACUGGAAGGGUAAGCUGGCACUCAACAACCCGCUGUCAUGGUAACUGACCCAGGCCUGCAAGAGGAUCAUGGCGCCUACACGAUCUAAGACCUUUUUAAAGGUACUGCCACCACCUCUCAACACUGUUCUAUGAUGAAUCAAAUUUCAGUGUGACUUUUGGAGGGGACAAAGCAUGUCCAAAUCAUAGCAACAGCCUAAUUCACCCUACAGUCCAGCCUCCAUCCCAGAGGCAGCUGGCUGUCACCUUCACACACCUGGGGCGAGUACAACCAUCCCUCGGCAUCUGCAGGGGGCUGGUCUCAGGACCCCAGUGGGUAUGAAAACCUGCAGCUGUCUAGUAAAAGGGUGUGCAAUUUGCACAGAACCUGUGUGCGUUCUGUACGCUUCUGAGUCAUCUCCUGCUGACACAGUGUAAAUGCUGCUAGGUAGUUGUUGGGCUGCAUUGCUUAGGGAAUCAUUCAAGGAAAAAAGCCUGUGCAUGUUUGGUAUGGAUUUUUUUUCCUGAAUGAUUUUCAUCUGGACUCAGUUGAGUCCACAGAUAUGGAACCCGCAGACACGGAGGGCCAUUGUAUAUGGCAAUUGUUCUGACACCCUAAUGGGACUGGGGUGAGGCCUGCCACAUAGAAGGAGGCCAGGAGUGAGGGGUGUGAGAGGAAGGAAUCCCAGGGAAAUUCUGAGGACCCCACACAAGGGUGUCGGGCCAACCCUAAAGUAUCAGCUGGGUCUGGAGAAUCUGUUUCCCAGUUUCUCUGCUGGCUUCUGGCAAGGCUCAGGUCCUCACUGAUGGUUGCCUUCUGUCAGUUCUUUACAUGAGAGUCUCUCCUCAAGGCUGGCUGCUCAGAACACGGCCACUAGCUUUUGCCAGAGCUAUAAGAGACAGCGAGAGAAGGUGGGUAUGAUGGCAGUGCCUGGCCUUUUGUAGCCCAUCCAUCUUAGAAAUGAUGUCCUGUCACACUGGCCCUAUUCUACCUCUGAGAAGCUAGGCACUGCAUACUGGGGGUUACUGGGUGCCAUCUGAGAGGCUGUCUGCCACUAGGGCAUCACGGGAGAGGGAACAUGUCACAGCAGGGGCCAAGGAGCUGGAAAGAGUCCUCUCAGUACUGCACAGCCUGUUCCCCUGGCUGGGGCAGACCGGAAGCAGCUGACCCACAUCCUGGUGGAUAAAGGUCCCUGCGUCCUGGGGUCCUUUGGUCUUGGGAUUUCAUCAUCCCACUCUCGCCUUUUGCUCCCUCUGUCCUCUUCUCUCUGCCUGUACUUGCUCCUUGAUUUUCACAUUUUGGUUUUGUAUGAAUAAAAGUUAGCAACUCUUUACAAUAAAGAGCUGGGAAUUUAGCUCAGCGGUGCCUCUGCCUGCCUUGCAAGCUCAAGGUCCUGAGUUUGAUCCCCAGUACUGAAAAACAAAACAAAAUAAAACAAACUCCCUCAAGAGCCAGCUGCACAGAGUGACCCCAGGAGGAAAGGGCCUGUGUGGUUGGAGGGUGCUCACAUCUGGAACCCUACACACACUUGAAUCCCAGCCAAUCCUCUGCCUCUCGAAGUCUUACAGGGCCAAAGCCACCCAGCUGCAACAGGAGCCCAACCCAUGCCCCUCUGUGCCACCUUAUCCUGCAAGGGAAUGAAGACUGAUUUUGUUUGUUGGAGAAGAUGAGGACUUAAGAAUCCAAGGUUGAGGACCGGGGAUGUAGAUCAGUGGCACCUCACCUGUGUGGCAAUAGCAAGAUCCUGAGUUCAAACCCUGCUACUGGAAAAAAAAGCCAGGGUCAAGUUGCCAGGUGUGGGAGCAUUUUGUUCAGUCUGUGAAGACAAGGAGCUGGGCGGAGAUGGACUGGAAAAGGAAGGGACGUAUCCUGACUCUCCUGGUGAGAGAGACUGGACCCCAUAUGGGUGCAGUUCCAGCCCUCUGUCCCUGCACCACAGCAACCCCUGGCCUUGCCUGGGGGUGCCUGCUCCCGCAGGGGCCUCCAGCACAGCUGAUCGCUGGUACAGGCUGGCAGCCAGAUCCAUGGCGAAGCCCACAGGGUAAUGGGCAGGAUGCUGGGGAACAUCCAGCUCCUUGGAGAAGGCCAGAGAACACAUUGAAAUCCACCCUCAAAUUAGGAAUAUGUUUACUUGUCUAAUACAACUUUAUUAUGUUUACUCAGUUAGACCACAGCCUGUGGGCUCACCCUAUGCGCAGAGAUGUUAUAAAAGGAUUGGCCACCGCCGAAGUUUUCCACGAAGACUGACUUGUUACUUGUCAGUUUCCUUUGUCAUCCUCAGCGUUUGCCAGCAAGUAAGCCUCUGCUUGUGGUCACCGGAGGUUUAAGGAUAGCUUGCAAGGACAGAUUUACAUUUGAGAAUAAAGUUCCAGCAGACACUAUUGGAUUACUCAUCCAAUUUCUACCACUCCUUCUGCCACCUCAAGAAAUUGGGUUUUUCAUUACAUUACGGUCACCCAUGCUAUAGCGUGGGUCUUGUACUUCCAGUCAGGUCUGUGUGUUAGAGGUUUGGUGUGCUGCUGGGAGGUGUGGAGCCUAGGGGGAGCCCUUAGGUCUUUAGGGAUUGUGCCCCACGAGGAUGGUAAGAUCCCUCCCCUCGAGCCACUACUUCUUCCUCUGUUGCUUCCUGGCCCUGAGAUGGGCGGUUUUGCUCCUCCCAUGGCUCACAUUGAUGAGGCCAUCCCAUCACAGACUGGAGCCUCGAAAAGGAGCCUUUUCUUUUCCCGGUGAGUUAGCUCAGGAGUCUUGUUACAGCAACACUGACUAACCUCCGUUCUCUCCGGGUAGUGCCUGGGUGCUGUUGGGCAUUGCCUUGAGUAGGUGGGAGCCCAGAAAAGCUGUGUCCGUGUAGCUGUCCUCCGUGGGGUGGGAAUGGCACCAUUUAGGGGACCAGAGGGACCAGACCCGGAGCCAUGGUGAGGUCUGCCCUGCAGCCCCCUCACUUUGGACCUCAGGCUCUUCACCAAGGAACUUCUUCGCUACUUGGAACAUCUGGGGCAGGAUUUCCUAGGCAUCCUGACCUCUUUUCCCCCUCACACUGUGAAAGGCAGCCCAUGUGCAACUGUCCACUUUGUCUGAUUGGGACGGUGCUGGUUGUCCCCUGCCCUUGCCAUGUGAGACUUCACAUGGGGCGACACAUGCUGCUUCUCUCUGCCCAGAAGCAGCUUCCAAGAUCUGAAGCCUCAAUUUCCCUGUCUGCAAAAUGGGCUGUGUCGAAGGGGAGGUACUGGCAAUGUGAGGAGGGCAGUGACAAGGGCACUUGCUGGUUUCUGGUAGAACUGUGUGAGUGGUGUCUGCACAGGGGGCGCUGAAGUGGGCUGCCUUGGUCACUGGGCCGAGGGCCACGUUACAGCGUUCCCACUUUCCCUGAAAGUCAGGGAAGCGCCCAAAAGUGUCCCAGCCGUGCCGUGGGUGGGGGGCACACUGAUCGGCCAGGCAGGGUGGGGUUGCCGCCUGUUGAUAUCAGCAGCCAGGGUCCAGGAUGGUCCUCAGGGUCGCUGCCACCCACUUGUGCCCUUGGACUGUGCCACUUGGCCCUCUGGCCCAAGCAGCCACCUGCUCCCAGCUGCGGGAGGCCCAGCCGCCUGACCUUUCCCUCCUAACGUCAUUUUCCAUUCUGCU